rnacentral:lncRNA from 1 species
UGAAGUGAGGGACAGGCAGAGUGUUAAAGAGGACUGUGAAAUCCAUCAAACAGUUAUGUUGAGCUAACAAUGUGGACUGAUUGUAUAAGGCGAGCAAGCUGCCAAGAAUUGCUAAGCUUGAUGUGCAGACCUCAUUUCUUAGGCAAAUAAACUGUGCAAUGUCUUGUUUUAUUAUUGAUGACUGCUCUGCCAGUCUGCCUGAGUUGUCAUUUUUUUGUAUUUAUCAUAAAGCAGGUACUUUCAUGUUUUUGUAGUUGUGUGACACAGAGUCAUUUGUUUCUUACAGCUGUCAUCUUCUAGGAAGCAGGCGCUCAUGCUUGGAGACCUGCAGAGCACGAACUGCAGCAUGUGUGGCGAGCCCGGGAGACAGCAAGAGCCACAGGAGUCCUGGACUAAGGGCGCCUCCCACACAAGCAGAAAGACACCCGCUUUUCCUUUAUUUUUUUUAAUAAAUGUUUUUUCUUCUCCUUCUUACAAUGUUCUUUAAUACAAUGGUUUACCUGACUUGGAGGCAGUUUUAUCUCUGGAGCUCCUAUCUGAAUACAUGGGAAAAGAGAAAUAGUUUUUCUCUGAAGCCAGCAACGGAAUUC